rnacentral:rRNA from 1 species
UGCUAGUUGUGCGGGUUUAGACCCGCAGCGGAAAGCUCAGUAACACGUGGCCAAACUACCCUGUGGAUGGGAACAAUCUCGGGAAACUGAGGCUAAUUCCCAAUAACGCUCCGCCCCUGGAACGGGCGGAGCUGGAAACGCUACGGCGCCACAGGAUGUGGCUGCGGUCGAUUAGGUAGACGGUGGGGUAACGGCCCACCGUGCCAAUAAUCGGUACGGGUUGUGAGAGCAAGAGCCCGGAGACGGAAUCUGAGACAAGAUUCCGGGCCCUACGGGGCGCAGCAGGCGCGAAACCUUUACACUGUACGCAAGUGCGAUAAGGGGACUCCGAGUGUGAAGGCAUAGAGCCUUCACUUUUGUACACCGUAAGGUGGUGUACGAAUAAGGGCUGGGCAAGACCGGUGCCAGCCGCCGCGGUAAUACCGGCAGCCCGAGUGAUGGCCGAUAUUAUUGGGCCUAAAGCGUCCGUAGCUGGCCGGACAAGUCCGUUGGGAAAUCUGUUCGCUUAACGAGCAGGCGUCCAGCGGAAACUGUUCGGCUUGGGACCGGAAGACCUGAGGGGUACGUCCGGGGUAGGAGUGAAAUCCUGUAAUCCUGGACGGACCACCGGUGGCGAAAGCGCCUCAGGAGGACGGAUCCGACAGUGAGGGACGAAAGCUAGGGUCUCGAACCGGAUUAGAUACCCGGGUAGUCCUAGCUGUAAACGAUGCCCGCUAGGUGUUGGCGCAGGCUACGAGCCUGCGCUGUGCCGUAGGGAAGCCGAGAAGCGGGCCGCCUGGGAAGUACGUCUGCAAGGAUGAAACUUAAAGGAAUUGGCGGGGGAGCACUACAACCGGAGGAGCCUGCGGUUUAAUUGGACUCAACGCCGGACAUCUCACCAGCUCCGACAGUAGUAAUGACGGUCAGGUUGAUGACUUUACCCGAUGCUACUGAGAGGAGGUGCAUGGCCGCCGUCAGCUCGUACCGUGAGGCGUCCUGUUAAGUCAGGCAACGAGCGAGACCCGCACUCCUAAUUGCCAGCAGUACCCUUUUGGGUAGCUGGGUACAUU